rnacentral:misc_RNA from 1 species
GAUGAAGAACGCAGCGAAAUGCGAUAAGUAGUGUGAAUUGCAGAAUUCAGUGAAUCAUCGAAUCUUUGAACGCACAUUGCGCCCUUUGGUAUUCCUUAGGGCAUGCCUGUUCGAGCGUCAUUUAAACCUUCAAGCUCAGCUUGGUGUUGGGUGACUGUCCGCUUCACCACGGACUCGCCUCAAAAUUAUUGGCGGCCGGUACAUUGGCUUCGAGCGCAGCAGAAACGCGAACUCGGGCCCGUCGUAUUGGCUCCCAGAAGCUAUCUUCACAAUUUUGACCUCGGAUCAGGUAGGGAUACCCGCUGAACUUAAGCAUAUCAAUAAGCGGAGGA